rnacentral:rRNA from 1 species
GUGAACGCUGGCGGUAGGCCUAACACAUGCCCGUCGAACGGCAGCACAGUAAGAGCUUGCUCUUACGGGUGGCGAGUGGCGGACGGGUGAGGAAUACAUCGGAAUCUACUUUUUCGUGGGGGAUAACGUAGGGAAACUUACGCUAAUACCGCAUACGACCUACGGGUGAAAGCAGGGGAUCUUCGGACCUUGCGCGAUUGAAUGAGCCGAUGUCGGAUUAGCUAGUUGGCGGGGUAAAGGCCCACCAAGGCGACGAUCCGUAGCUGGUCUGAGAGGAUGAUCAGCCACACUGGAACUGAGACACGGUCCAGACUCCUACGGGAGGCAGCAGUGGGGAAUAUUGGACAAUGGGCGCAAGCCUGAUCCAGCCAUACCGCGUGGGUGAAGAAGGCCUUCGGGUUGUAAAGCCCUUUUGUUGGGAAAGAAAAGCAGCAGGUUAAUACCCCGCUGUUCUGACGGUACCCAAAGAAUAAGCACCGGCUAACUUCGU